GCCUGAGUGGCUCAGUGGUGAGUGUCUGCCUUCAAUCCAGGGUAUGAUCCUGAGGUCCUGGGAUCAAGUCCCACUUCGGGCU
rnacentral:tRNA from 1 species